AUCCGUAUAGCUCAUUGGGUAGAGCACGAGACUCUUAAUCUCAGGGCCAUCGUUAGAUCCCUAUUUUGGGCC